rnacentral:rRNA from 1 species
UACGAAGGGGGCUAGCGUUGCUCGGAAUCACUGGGCGUAAAGGGUGCGUAGGCGGGUCUUUAAGUCAGAGGGGAAAUCCUGGAGCUCAACUCCAGAACUGCCUUUGAUACUGAGGAUCUUGAGUACGGGAGAGGUGAGUGGAACUGCGAGUGUAGAGGUGAAAUUCGUAGAUAUUCGGAAGAACACCAGUGGCGAAGGCGACUUACUGGACACAUAUUGACGCUGAGGUGCGAAAGCGUGGGGAGCAAACAGG